GUCGUUGAAAAAAAAAACAAAGUCUUUUGAUUCUUCCACUUAUCGCUUCGUCUCUGUCUCUCUGAUCGGACCUCCGUUUGGAUAUCUGUUCCAAGUCGAAACCAGAGAACUCUUGUUGAGAGUUGCGAUCGUCUCUCGAUCUUCUCCAACCCCUUUGACUGUUUUUCUUCUUCUGAGCAAUAUAGGGAUGCGGAUUCUGGCUUUGGUUCUAUGCAAGCAAAGGAAAUGUUGGAGCAUUUAGAGAGUGUUCUAGCUAAUGAACUUGUUGCUGUCAAAAGCGGCCACUACACUUGAUGAAGCCCUUUGAUUUCGAAACAACCAGAGUCUUUUGCAAGGAUGUUGAAGUAUGAUGCAUGCAAAGACGAGAGUAUUUGAUCAUUAUAAAGAAUGGAGCUUGUACUUUGCAGAUGAUCCAAUCCAUACAGAUGGUCGCUGAUGUGCGGCAGUUCCAAACUACUGAAGCACGGUCAGUCUCAUCUCUUUUGUUCUCUUUGAUGUAAAUAAUGAGACAUGUGUGUGAUUAUUCAGUUGCUAGUUGUGUAAAGCAGUGUCUAGGAUAACUUAAAGAACGGAAAAAUCAGUAGGUUGACGGUUUGAUUAGUUGACUCGUUGAGUCCAAUGUUUAUCUUCUCAUCACAAUGUUUCAUAAUUUUGUUUUUUUAAGAUAGCUUAAAUUUAUCUUCUUCU